AGACCCGAAACCCGGUGAUCUAGCCAUGGGCAGGUUGAAGGUUGGGUAACACUAACUGGAGGACCGAACCGACUAAUGUUGAAAAAUUAGCGGAUGACCUGUGGCUGGGGGUGAAAGGCCAAUCAAACCGGGAGAUAGCUGGUUCUCCCCGAAAGCUAUUUAGGUAGCGCCUCGUGAAUUCAUCUCCGGGGGUAGAGCACUGUUUCGGCUAGGGGGCCAUCCCGGCUUACCAACCCGAUGCAAACUGCGAAUACCGGAGAAUGUUAUCACGGGAGACACACGGCGGGUGCUAACGUCCGUCGUGAAGAGGGAAACAACCCAGACCGCCAGCUAAGGUCCCAAAGUCAUGGUUAAGUGGGAAACGAUGUGGGAAGGCCCAGACAGCCAGGAUGUUGGCUUAGAAGCAGCCAUCAUUUAAAGAAAGCGUAAUAGCUCACUGGUCGAGUCGGCCUGCGCGGAAGAUGUAACGGGGCUAAACCAUGCACCGAAGCUGCGGCAGCGACGCUGAUGCGUUGUUGGGUAGGGGAGCGUUCUGUAAGCCUGCGAAGGUGACCUGUGAGGG
rnacentral:rRNA from 4 species